UAAUUGAUUGACGUUAAUCACAGAAGAAGCACCGGCUAACUCCGUGCCAGCAGCCGCGGUAAUACGGAGGGUGCGAGCGUUAAUCGGAAUAACUGGGCGUAAAGCGCACGCAGGCGGUYGCUUAAGUGAGGUGUGAAAUCCCCGGGCUUAACCUGGGAAUUGCAUYUCAGACUGGGCAGCUAGAGUAUUUUAGGGAGGGGUAGAAUUCCACGUGUAGCGGUGAAAUGCGUAGAGAUGUGGAGGAAUACCGAAGGCGAAGGCAGCCCCUUGGGGAAAUACUGACGCUCAUGUGCGAAAGCGUGGGGAGCAAACAGGAUUAGAUACCCUGGUAGUCCACGCUGUAAACGCUGUCGAUUUGGGGAUUGGGCUUUAAGCUUGGUGCCCGUAGCUAACGUGAUAAAUCGACCGCCUGGGGAGUACGGCCGCAAGGUUAAAACUCAAAUGAAUUGACGGGGGCCCGCACAAGCGGUGGAGCAUGUGGUUUAAUUCGAUGCAACGCGACVUVCCUUACCUACUCUUGACAUCCAGAGAAG
rnacentral:rRNA from 1 species